rfam:Culex flavivirus isolate M-20, complete genome
CCACCCGCAAGGGGGGAGAUUUCCAACUCCCCGGGUGUUGACGACACCCCGGCCCCA